rnacentral:lncRNA from 1 species
GCUGAUGCUCUAGCUCGGCUGAGCUGACUCAGCUACUGGUUUGGCUGGCUUGACGGCUUGGUCUGUAUCGACUCGGCUCAGAUCUGAAGUUGGAUUUACGGUGAACAGGGGAGAACGAGAAUUACAGAUCUCGAUCUGUGUGGGUUGAUCAGAGGGGUUUUGGGGGCGGCGUAUGGUAUAAAAAGGUGGGGGCAGUGGUCUUAGUGGCGGAGAGAGGUGGUGGUAAUGGAGUUGUGGUGGGAGCAGCAGACGAAGAGGGAAGGUGGUGGUGGACCGGUGAUUCAGUAAGCAAGGGGUGGCGGUGGGAGAGAGGACCAGUGAUGGGGAGGAUGGUGGAGGGUGUGUCAAGCCACGACGGUCAUCGGAAAGAUGACCUAAUGCGGCGG